UGCAACGGCCUGGAAUCGAACCCGGGCCGCCCGCGUGGCAGGCGGCGAGCAUUCUACCACUGAACCACUGAUGG